AUACCGCUACUAAUGCACCUGGUCUCAUCAGAACUUCAAAGUUAAACGAGUUUGGACGAAAAUAGUACUAAGAUGGGUAACCACCUAAAAUUUACUC
rnacentral:rRNA from 1 species